AUUUCCCGAUUGACUGCUGGGGCGCUUGAUACCAGCGUGCGGAGCAGCAUUCAUGAUUCCACGUCCGACUUCUAAGCUCCAUAAGCCAUACCGUGUCGUGGGUAUACUGGUUGCUUCGUAUAUUCUAUCGUUUGCUGAGUGCGUGUCCUGAUCAUCCGCGACACCGCCUAUAGCGCCGGUGCGGGCGUAGCACGGCGACAAAACGGCGUUGCCGUACCUCGGAGGGCGUCUGCUCGAGACGGUAGACAGGUACGCUAGCGCAGCCAGUUGCCCGCCUUUUCUGGCCGGCAGACUGCAGUAGGUUUCAGCUUGUGCUUGCAUACUUCGAGCCUGAGAAGCUGUCCGACAAAUCUAGAUGGCGGCAGCUCCUUGGGUCCCGUCUUCAGCGCGGCAAAACUCCUGAUAUAGAUAGCAGCGUUAAAGUCUCAUUUCACAAACUCCAUGCGUUUAUUGCCGCUGCUCGAGCUGACCAAUGGAAGGAGGCAUCGGACUCGUGCCCGCUGUGCCACUUGGUUCGCUGUCAGCAACUCGUACUUUUCUGUGGCCGAAGGUCUCCGCUGUCUUCUCUCCGUAUCGACCCUCUGGCGUGUACAUCUGUGCUGAUUCCUUAGAUUUUACUUGCUUCAUAUGAACGCACUUUUUUAUGCUCUUAGGUGAAGACCUUCCCCCGGCGAGAGGGACUUGCGGAAGAAAGAAGGCAUAUGUCCAAACGUCAGCGUGUGCUAGAAGCCGCAGCGAUUCUGUCUGAAGAGCGAUCAUUACGUUUCAGGACUGAAAACGCUCUUUCGAUGGAGUUGAGCCACGGAGAGUACGAAGGAAUGAAAAGCAGCUCUACUCCCGGAUAGAAUCAGCGAAAAGCUCGAACGCGAAGGGCAAUGGUGAAAUGCUAUGUUGUCCAGUAGAAGGACGUCGCCAGACCUGCGGGGAAAAGUCUUCGAUCAUUCGACGAAAGGGUUGCUGUUGUAUGAGCGUUCCCUACGAGCGAAACUCAGGCCGUCAAAUGAAUCCAUUCUAGCUAGAACAGAUGAUGAUGUCCUCGUUCUCCUCGAGUUCUACCGAACAUUGCACGGGCUCCGUCUCCGCAAAUACCCAUCUACGCUUCAACCGCUUCAUCCGAAGCAAGUCUCAUCGACUGAAACAAACCGACAUGACUCCGCUUCAUGCUCAUCGCGACGUUCCAGCAACGCUAUCCUUGCGAUUUCGGUGCAAGAUGGUCGCGCGUGAACUACGACUCUUUUUGCGACUAUAUCCCAGUGUUUUCAGGACGACACGAACAAGCCGUUCAGAAACAGAGACGCCCGUGGUGGCUGUUACCGUCGCUUUUGCUUUCCAUUACAUGAUCAACGGCUCGUUUUCUAUCAUUGGCCGAAAGCAGUCUUUCACAGUACCAGUUUCUGGCGCGUGACGCGUAUACUUCUUUCUUUCAGUUUCCCCAACCAUCUGAGUGCUGUGGUACAUCUGACCUGAAUGCGGAAUGCAGUCCUCGUUCCACUAUUCAGUAAAGAAUCUUUCCUAAAGAAAGUUCGU